rnacentral:rRNA from 1 species
UACGGAGGAUCCGAGCGUUAUCCGGAAUUACUGGGCGUAAAGGGCGCGCAGGCUGUUAUGCGAGUCUGCUGUGAAAUGUACCGGCUCAACCGGUGCCUUGCGGCGGAUACUGCAUAGCUGGAGUACUGGAGAGGGAAGUGGAAUUCCCGGUGUAGCGGUGAAAUGCGUAGAGAUCGGGAGGAACAUCGAUGGCGAAGGCAGCCAUCUGGACCAGCACUGACGCUGAGGCACGAAAGCGUGGGGAGCAAA